UACGGAGGGUGCAAGCGUUAUCCGGAUUCACUGGGUUUAAAGGGUGCGUAGGUGGGCAGGUAAGUCAGUGGUGAAAUCUCCGGGCUUAACCCGGAAACUGCCGUUGAUACUAUUUGUCUUGAAUAUUGUGGAGGUAAGCGGAAUAUGUCAUGUAGCGGUGAAAUGCUUAGAUAUGACAUAGAACACCAAUUACGAAGGCAGCUUACUACACAAUGAUUGACACUGAGGCACGAAAGCGUGGGGAUCAAACAGG
rnacentral:rRNA from 1 species